GCUAGCGUAGCUUAACAAAAGCAUAACACUGAAGAUGUUAAGAUGGUCCCUAAUAGGUCCCGCGGGCA
rnacentral:tRNA from 1 species